rnacentral:rRNA from 1 species
AAUCAACGCUGGCGGCGUGCCUCAGACAUGCAAGUCGAACGAUUAAAGCUCUCUUCGGAGAGUGCAUAAAGUGGCGCACGGGUGAGUAACACGUAAGUAAUCUACCUUCGAGUGGGGAAUAACGUCCGGAAACGGACGCUAAUACCGCAUAACGCAGCGGCAUCGCAAGAUGACAGUUGUUAAAGAUUUAUCGCUUGAAGAGGAGCUUGCGGCAGAUUAGCUUGUUGGUAAGGUAACGGCUUACCAAGGCUACGAUCUGUAUCCGGUCUAAGAGGACGGUCGGACACACUGACACUGAAUAACGGGUCAGACUCCUACGGGAGGCAGCAGUCGGGAAUUUUGGGCAAUGGGGGAAACCCUACGACCCAGCAACGCCGCGUGAAGGAUGAAGUA